GUAAAUAUAGUUUAACUAAAACAUUAGAUUGUGAAUCUAAAUAUAGAAACCCAGUACUUCUUAUUUACC
rnacentral:tRNA from 1 species